rnacentral:rRNA from 1 species
GUAACACGUGGGAAUUUACCAAAAAGUGGGGAAUAGCUCGGCGAAAGCCGAAUUAAUACCGCAUGUGGUCGAAAGACCAAAGCCGGGGACCGCAAGGCUGGCGCUUUUUGAGAAGCCCGCGGCCCAUCAGCUAGUUGGCGGGGUAACGGCCCACCAAGGCUAUGACGGGUAGCUGGUCUGAGAGGACGACCAGCCACACUGGAACUGAGACACGGUCCAGACACCUACGGGUGGCAGCAGUCGAGAAUUUUUCACAAUGGACGAAAGUCUGAUGGAGCGACGCCGCGUGGAGGAUGAAGGUUUUCGGAUUGUAAACUCCUGUCACUGCAGAACAAGGCCGGGCGAUUGAACAUUUCGUCCGGUUGAUGGUAUGCGGAGAGGAAGGGACGGUAACUCUGUGCCAGCAGCCGCGGUAAGACAGAGGUCCCGAGCGUUGUUCGGAUUCAUUGGGCGUAAAGGGUGUGUAGGAGGUCGGGUAAGUCAGGUGUGAAAUCUCACAGCUUAACUGUGAAACUGCGCUUGAUAC